UACAGAGGGUGCGAGCGUUAAUCGGAAUUACUGGGCGUAAAGCGCACGUAGGUGGCUUGGCAAGUCGGGUGUGAAAUCCCCGGGCUCAACCUGGGAACUGCAUUUGUGACUGCAUGGCUGGAGUGCGGCAGAGGGGGAUGGAAUUCCGCGUGUAGCAGUGAAAUGCGUAGAUAUGCGGAGGAACACCGAUGGCGAAGGCAAUCCCCUGGGCCUGCACUGACGCUCAUGCACGAAAGCGUGGGGAGCAAACAGG
rnacentral:rRNA from 1 species